AUUGAACGCUGGCGGCAGGCCUAACACAUGCAAGUCGAACGCGUGGCGGACGGGUGAGUAAUGUCUGGGACACUGCCUGAUGGAGGGGGAUAACUACUGGAAACAGUAGCUAAUCCCGCAUACCAUCAGAUGUGCCCAGAUGGGAUUAGCUAGUUGGUGGGGUAACGGCUCACCAAGGCGAGGAUCUCUAGCUGGUCUGAGAGGAUGACCAGCCACACUGGAACCGAGACACGGUCCAGACUCCUAUGGGAGGCAGCAGUGGGGAAUAUUGAACAAUGGGCGCAAGCCUGAUGCAGCCAUGCCGCGUGUAUGAAGAAGGCCUGUGGGUUGUAAAGUACUUUUAGCGGGGAGGCGUUACCCUCAGAAGAAGCACCGGCUAACUACGUGCCAGCAGCCGCGGGAAUAC
rnacentral:rRNA from 1 species